rnacentral:rRNA from 1 species
CUGCCCCGCGCUCCGGGACAACCGCUGGAAACGGCGGCUAAUACCGGACACUCCGGGAGGGCCCCAUGGCCCUGCCGGGAAAGCCGAGACGGCGCGGGAUGGGGUCGCGGCCCAUUAGGUAGACGGCGGGGUAACGGCCCACCGUGCCCGCGAUGGGUAGCCGGACUGAGAGGUCGACCGGCCACAUUGGGACUGAGAUACGGCCCAGACUCCUACGGGAGGCAGCAGUGGGGAAUUUUGCGCAAUGGGGGAAACCCUGACGCAGCAACGCCGCGUGCGGGACGAAGGCCCUCGGGUUGUAAACCGCUUUCAGCAGGGAAGAUCCAAGACGGUACCUGCAGAAGAAGCUCCGGCUAACUACGUGCCAGCAGCCGCGGUAAUACGUAGGGGGCGAGCGUUAUCCGGAUUCAUUGGGCGUAAAGCGCGCGUAGGCGGCCGCCUAAGCGGGACCUCUAACCCCGGGGCUCAACCCCGGGCCGGGUCCCGGACUGGGCGGCUCGAGUGCGGUAGAGGAGAGCGGAAUUCCCGGUGUAGCGGUGGAAUGCGCAGAUAUCGGGAAGAACACCGAUGGCGAAGGCAGCUCUCUGGGCCGUCACUGACGCUGAGGCGCGAAAGCUGGGGGAGCGAACAGGAUUAGAUACCCUGGUAGUCCCAGCCGUAAACGAUG